rnacentral:snRNA from 1 species
CUCGCUUCUCGGCCUUUUGGCUAAGAUCAAGUGUAGGAUCAAGACUUUAUUUGGUUCUCUGAUGUAUCCCCCAGAUCUAGAAUGUGCUCAACAAAAAUUCAGUGUUUCACUUUUCUAGUGACUAUAAAAUAAAUCACAUAGUCUUCCUUGCGUUUCCAGAGCCACAUCUGCUGAUGAAACUCACCCAGCUCUGUUGGCUUUACACUGUCCCCAACAUGCAGUCAACAUAG